GGGGGCAAGCGUUGUUCGGAAUUACUGGGCGUAAAGGGCUCGUAGGUUGCCAACUAAGUCAGACGUGAAAUCCCUCAGCUUAACUGGGGAACUGCGUCUGAUACUGGAUGGCUUGAGUUUGGGAGAGGGAUGCGGAAUUCCAGGUGUAGCGGUGAAAUGCGCAGAUAUCAGGAAGAACACCUAUGGCGAAGGCAGCUCUCUGGGACGGUACUGACGCUGAGACGCGAAAGCGUGGGGAGCGAACAGG
rnacentral:rRNA from 1 species